CUAGAUAGCAGGAGCACUCAUGGGUGUGUGAGACCUGCCCUGCAAGGGGCAGUAGAAGUGGGGUGGGACUUCUGGUCCAGAGCAAAGCUUCCUGGAGGAAGUGCCGCUGAGCUGACAUCUAAGAACUGGAAGGGGAGCUUCCGGAGGACAACUGUUUUCACUGCCGAGGGUCAGGCAGUGCCACCUGCUCUCUGUGCCAUGGCAGCAAGUUCUCCAUGCUGGCUAACAGAUUUAAGGAGUCCUAUCGGGCCCUGCGGUGCCCUGCCUGCAAUGAGAAUGGCCUGCAGCCUUGCCAGAUUUGCAAUCAGUAGAGCCUGUGGCUUUGUGCAUCCGCUUUUACGGCACCCUCCCUGAAGUUAUUGCUAAUAAACUGCCCCUCUUCCACCUCCUCCUCCUUCUCCCAGCAAGGAAGCCACAGUGGCUGCGAUCACUUCCACCCCUGGCAAAACUCAGUGACUUGAUGACAUUUCUUGAGGCUGGUCACAUCUCCAUGUGGGCCUAAGUGGCAGAGGCCUUUGUGAAUUAGAGUCUGCUUCGUUCUCAGAUGAUCCUUCCAGGACUGUGUGCGUGUAUCUCGCUCGACUUAGCUCAGUUUUCUCCCUGCACUAGUGAACAAAUAAAUAUACAAUUUAGGUGGCAGGCUGAAGUCAUUUUCUGGUUGGAGGUUACUCUGCAAACGUAUGCAGUGAGAGAGGAAUAUCAAAGGCAGGCUUCUGAUGAACAGAAUUCCUGUUGCGUUUCCAAUCGUUAUUGGUCAACUGAGUUUUUAAUUAAGCAGAAGAGGAAAGGAAUGCACAAUGCUGAAUAUGCACCAGCAGGCCGCUGAAAACAAAGCAGGACGUGUGUGCUUUUUGCUGAAGAUGGGCAAACCAAGGAGGUCCUUUUUUCAAAGUCCUGAGUCUUUCCUGUGUGAUGUGCUUGGGUGAUGUGCAUGCAGGCAACGAGCACUGCUACUUCUUAGGACAAGAUAAGACAUUUCUGUGUGCCUCUAAACUGCUGAGGUUAUAAGCCAAGUGAAAACUAAAUAUGAUAAAUUUGGUGCUUAAAUGUGUGAGUGUGUGAUAUGACUUCUUCCAGCCCCCAAAUUAUUACCAAAAAAUAUGUUUAUUUUAAGGCUAAGACAGAGCCAUGAUCUCUUCCUAAAAGACUUUGAAUGUUUUAUAGGUAUCGACCAGAAAUGUCUAAAAGAAAACCCACCCAAGCCUGAGUUUUAGCAAUUAUGUUUCUACUGCCUAUGUCUAUGCGUACACAUACUAAGGAGGUGUAUUCCUCGUCAAGGUGGUUGUAAAAUUUGACAGAGAACUUUUUUUUGUGGCUCUAACAGCCACUCCCCUUCCCCCUUGCGAAUAACCUUGCAAGAUCUGUUAUCUACUGAGACACGCUUUUCGAUGGUAAUUGUUUUGAUUUUCAUAAAUUAUUUUUUUCAAGUUUUGUUUGUUAUUCUCGCGUAGUCAGCUAUUCAAAUAAUUCAGCAGUGGAGUGCUUUUCAAACAAUAUAAAUACUUCCCAUAAAAACAUUAAAAUAUUUUU
rnacentral:lncRNA from 1 species